ACCUCUGUUAGAUCUUUUUAAUUAACAAAAAGUGGAGAAAUCGCUGAGACAGCUCAUGAAAUUACAGAGUGCACAUAAGAUGGUCAAGUAUGAGGAAAAAGAAAACUUGCUUCACUAAACCCAAAGAGGUUGCCCAGAGCAGUCUUGGUGUCUAUAGCUACCUGUAUCCAUUUGUUGAGAACCAUGGCUCUUUCUGCCUCACCUCCACAAUAAUGCUAUUCCUUCGGCUGUUAAUUUUGCUCGUCCAACCACUAGUGGGGGCGCUGUGUGACGAUAAGAAGUUGAGAGUCUGGG